rnacentral:rRNA from 1 species
GCCGGCAGCCAUAUCACCCCGCAGCCCAAGACUGGUCGCCCACUGGAACUAAGCAGGGUUGAGCCUGGUCAGUACCUGGAUGGGAGACCUCCUGGGAAAACUUCGCUUUGAGUGCU